rnacentral:rRNA from 1 species
UAAGGAAUAUUGGUCAAUGGACGCAAGUCUGAACCAGCCAUGCCGCGUGAAGGAUGAAGGUCCUCUGGAUUGUAAACUUCUUUUAUCUGGGACGAAAACGGGAUUUUUAUCUCAAUUGACGGUACCAGAGGAAUAAGCACCGGCUAACUCCGUGCCAGCAGCCGCGGUAAUACGGAGGGUGCGAGCGUUAUCCGGAUUUACUGGGUUUAAAGGGUGCGUAGGUGGGCUUAGAAGUCAGUGGUGAAAUCUCCGAGCUUAACUUGGAAACUGCCGUUGNUACUAUAGGUCGUGAAUUAUCUGGAGGUAAGCGGAAUAUGUCAUGUAGCGGUGAAAUGCUUAGAUAUGACAUAGAACACCAAUUGCGAAGGCAGCAUACUACAUAUAAAUUGACGCUGAGGCACGAAAGCGUGG